UCUCCGUAGGUGAACCUGCGGAGGGAUCAUUACAGAGUUCUCGCCCUCGCGGGUAGGUCUCCCACCCACUGUUAUCGUUACUGUGUUGCUUUGGCGGGCCGCCGGGCCCCGCUCGGCCGCCGGAUCCGGCUGGCGCGCGCCCGCCAGAGGCCCAGCAAACUCUGAAUGUUAGUGUCGUCUGAGUACUAUAUAAUAGUUAAAACUUUCAACAACGGAUCUCUUGGUUCUG
rnacentral:misc_RNA from 1 species